AGACUCUUGAUUUUAGUCUAUUAUCAUUGUUUUUUGGGAAACGCGAGGAAUAACUUUACGCGUUUUUAAAUCUGAAUCAAGUUAUGGUGAAGGGAUGCGUUUGCUUAUUAUGGUCAAUGGUAAACUAACCACAAUUACCUUAGCAACAAUGUUCUAGUUAGCAAUUCAGUGGUCGUUAAUAUAGACACUUUUGAUUUCAUGAUAAUUCCGGGUUAUCUUUCUUUUUUGCCUUCUGAUUCUUAAAGGCUACGAUUAUGUAAAUGUCUUGCUCGGUGUUUUUGGUUAAACUUAUGUAUUUGACUCUGGUUGUUAGCCAUGUGUGUAUUUCACUUUGAAUCAAUCAGAUGUCGUAGUCAUAAACAUCGUUAAAUCGUAUUCAUCUGUUGUUUUCCACUUUUUAAAGAACUGACAGUUGAACCCUUUGUAGAUUGUGUUGGGGAUUUUCUCGAUCCAUUGUUCCAGAUGUGCUUUGUUUUUCUGCAUGUCUUUUGACGAUUCACUUUUUGAGAAUGCUUUAUUGUAAGCUUUCUUUUUUCUUAAUAGUUGUUCAUAAUUUCCUAUUGGCUGAAACGUUUAUGGUGGUAGCUAAAUCACUUUUAACCUAAAUGUCUUUGUGGACUCAAGUUGUUUUGUUUUUGUAUUUUUGCUGUGCAGUCAAUUUACCAUUUUGUGAUUUUCCUUUUCAUUUGGAUUAUCCAAUGCAUGGUUAAAGUAUGGUAUUAUUUUACCGUUAUAGAGACUGGGCAGGCUGCAUUUAGAGGUUAAUGACAGAUGUUAGUGUCACAGGUCUUCUUUGGCACAGGGAAUAUGAUUGAUACAAGCAAUUGUGGCCCCGCCUAUCUGUGCAGAAACCCAGUGCGUACGUUCUGAAGUGCUACAGUGUCCCAGGCACUGGGAUAUGUACAUUUUACAUCUCAGACUCAGGUACCGGGGCCUCAGUGUCUCGACCCUGGGUUGGUGCAUGUCCCAAGACUUAGAAUCUCUAGCUUCAGAAUCCAUGUCAUUUGGACUAGGCCUGCUACAGGUCCCAAGACUUGUGAGGUCCACGGCAGAUACAAGUCUUACGCCCUCUGACAGUGCAGCCACCGGCUGCAACAAGUUGUAAGACCGUCUGGAAUCUGCCACAGGUGGACUCAAGUCCCAAGACCUUGUAGAUCCACUGCAGAUGCAAGUCUUAAGACCUCUGAGAGUGCAGCCACCGGCUGCAACAAGUCGUAAGACCAUCUGGAACCUGCCAUAGGUGGACCCAAGACCUCUGCAGUGUGCCAUGUCCUAAGACCUCUGUUUUUCAUUUGCUAGAGCUAAGUCGUAAGACAUGUGACAUUCAGCGCAGUGUGUGUACCAGUACCAGGUCCUGAAAUCUGAUUGGUAGGUAUGCUGCCCAGCACCAAGGCGUACGCGUGAGGGUAGCACUGUGGCCGUCUGGCAGAUGAGCUGACCAUGCGGAGGAGAAGCAGGAAGUCCCCAGAUGGAGGAGCUAUCUUGUGUGCAGCCCCACAAGCAAUUGUGGCCCGGCCUUUCUGUGCAGAAACCCAGUGCGUACGUUCUGAAGUGCGACAGUGUCCCAGGCACUGGGGUAUGUACAUUUUACCUCUCAGACUCAGGUACCAGGGCCUCGGUGUCACGACUCUGGGCUGGUGCAUGUCCCAAGGCUUAGAUUCUCUAGCAUCAGAAUCCAUGUCAUAUGGACUAGGCCUGCUACAGGUCCCAAGACUUGAGAGGUCCACGGCAGAUACAAGUCUUACGCCCUCUGACAGUGCAGCCACCGGCUGCAACAAGUCGUAAGACCGUCUGGAAUCUGCCACAGGUGGACUCAAGUCCCAAGACCUUGUAGAUCCACUGCAGAUGCAAGUCUUAAGACCUCUGAGAGUGUGGCGCCCUGCUGCAACAAGUCUUAAGACCGUCUGGAAUCUGCUACAGGUGGUUGCAUGUCUCAAGACCUCUAGAUACACGGCAGGUACAAGUCUUACGCCCUCUGAGAGUGCAGCCACUGGCUGCAACAAGUCGUAAGACCGUCUGGAACCUGCCAUAGGUGGAUCCAAGUCCCAAGACCUCUGCAAUGUGUCCUGUCCUAAGACCUCUGUGUUUCUCAUAUGUUAGAGCUAAGUUCAAAGAUAUCUGACACUCAGCCCAGUGUGUGUACCAGUACCAGGUCCUGAAAUCUGAUUGGUAGGUAUGCUGCCCAGCACCAAGGCGUACGCAUGAGGGUAGCACUGUGGCCGUCUAGCAGAUGAGCUGACCAUGCGGAGGAGGAGCAGGAAGUCCCCAGAUGGAGGAGCUAUGUUAUCGGGGGGGCCAGACUCGCCACUUCCCCUUCACUCCGCCCUUCGAUGCCGUCUCUCCCCCGCCCUUGGGGACCACCUCUCUGUCGCCCUUCGGUACCGUCUCUCCCCCCGCCCUUGGGGAUCACCUCUCUGUCGCCCUUCGGAACCAUCUCUCCCCCACCCUUGGAGACCACCAACGUUGCUCAGGUGCGACGCUCGGGGAUUCGAACCAGCAACCUCUACCUCCUGAGUAUUGAACUGAAUUUGUUGAGACAUCAGAAAUGGAAACACAAAAGGAGGAACUGGGGUUCGAACCCUCAAGCUCAUCGUUCAGAGUCCAUGACACUACCUUCACGCCACCAUCACAUUCUGUCUUCUGCCAGAUGCAGCAGUACAUAGAAUAUGACACUACAGAAAUGUAAGAGAAGUAAAGAGAUAGGAAUGGAUUUGAACCCAGGAGCUUUGGGUUCAUAGGCAGGGACUUUAUCUUUGUGCCAACGUCUCUGUUAUGUUUAGUUUCGCUCUGCAGUGGACUGAAGAAGAUGAGACCACAGACACUCAAAGUAAAGAUGAGGGUGCAGGGUUUGAACCCACAGCCUCUUGAUCCCGAGACGAUGACAAUACCAUUACGCCACUGCUGUCUUGGCUUUUUGUUUAGUGAUGUAGUAGACUGAUGAUGAUGAGCUGACAGAACCAUAAGAGAGAAGUAAAGGGGAGAUUCGAACCCUGUUGCCUUGCACUCGCAGACAAUGACGUUACCAUUGAGCCAACCACACUUUGACUCUCGUUGGCUGAAUAUGAUAGAAUUUGAUGAUAAUGUUGAAACACAAGAGAAGUAAAGACAAUUGGUGGGGUUUGAACCCUUGACAUCUGGGUCUGUAGACGGACACCAUUCCAUUACGCCACAGCUGCCUUACAGUUCUGCAGUGGUGUAGAAGACAGAAGAUGAUGAGCUGACAGAGACACAAGAGAAAGAAAGAGAGGGGUUCGAACCCUCGACCUCUUGGUCCAGAGACGGUAACUCUACCAUUAUGCUACGGCAACCUGGUUGCCACUGCAGGUUCCACACAUUCUUAAGCAACUUUAAUGACAACAUUCAACUACAGGAAUUUCCACAAAGUCAUUUUCUGUUGCAUUAUUGUUGUUUGAAAUUUUUUAUUUGUUUUUUUUUUUUUUUUUUUUUGGAGGGGGGGGGAAUCCAAUUUUUCAGCGUGACACAUCCAGAAGCACAACCGGUUAUGUAUACAAGCACUACAGAUUAAUAACCAUGCACAAGUGAUGACCCGGGAUUCAAACCUGUGACCUACUGAUUACAAAUCCAGUUCUUUAACCAUUACACUACAGAAACAGUAGACAAGAUACACCUCAGGGUGACUAUCUACUGCACUCCCAUGACAGUGGGCUUAAUGCCUAUUACAUUACAUUACAUUACAUAGCAUUUAGCAGACGCUCUUAUCCAGAGCGACGUAUAAGUGCAAAUCGAACCUGAGAGGACAGUACAGUUCCGAGUCCUAGUGUAAACAUACAGAUAAUUAGAACCCUUGAAGAAUACAAUCAACUUCCAAACUAGCAUACCACAGUUGGCAGCUAGAAUACCCUGAGUACAACAAUACAAUAGCAAAUACAAAAAAACGACAAUAUCUAUACAAGUAACAAUAUCUAUACAAUCUAUACAUAAGUGCCAUUACAUCAUGAUGGUGAGUUAGGGAGGGAAAGGUGUAGCCUGCACUUGAAGGAGGUCAGAGACUCUGCCGUUCUGACAUCCACCGGGAGGUCAUUCCACCACCGUGGGACUGGGGCUGCAGCAUUCUGGAUGAGUUGUAGGGGUCUGAUGGCAGAUGCUGGAAGGCCAGCCAGCAGAGAAUUGCAAUAGUCCAGGCGGGACAGGACCAUUGCUUGAACAAGGAACUGAGUGGAGUAGGUGGUGAGAAAGGGUGGAUUCUCUGGAUGUUGUACAGGAAGAACCUGCACACCCGGGUCACCGUAGCGAUGUUCUUGGAGAAGGACAGCCUGUUGUCCAUCACCACUCCAAGGUUUCUUGCACUAGGGGAUGAGGUCACUGUGGUAUCCCCUAGUGAGAUGGAAAAAUCAGAGGGGCUUAUGAGAGUGCUACGACACUGCUGCUACAGUGGGCUUAAUGCUUAUGAGAGUGAUGCAGUGCUACACUGAUGCUACAGUGGGCUUAAUGCUUAUGAGAAUGAUGCAGUGCUACACUGCUGCUACAGUGGGCUUAAUGCUUAUGAGAGUGAUGUAGUGCUACACUGCUGCUACAGUGUGCUUAAUGCUUAUGAGAAUGAUGCAGUGCUACAAUGCUGCUACAGUGGGCUUAAUGCUUAUGAGAGUGAUGCAGUGCUACACUGCUGCUACAGAGGGCUUAAUGCUUAUGAGAGUGAUGCAGUGCUACACUGCUGCUACAGUGGGCUUAAUGCUUAUGAGAGUGAUGCAGUGCCUUUCCUGCCUGGAUUACUGCAACUCCCUCCUAGCCGGUCUCCCAGCGUGUGCCAUCAAGCCCCUCCAGCUGGUCCAGAAUGCUGCAGCCCGCCUGAUCACCAGUCAGCCCAGGUCGGCUCAUGUCACCCCGCUCCUCAUUGGCCUCCACUGGCUGCCUAUUGCCACACGCAUCCGCUUCAAGGUCCUAGUGUUGGCAUUUCAGGCUGCUAAGGGGACUGCCCAACCUUACAUCCAAUCCUUAAUCACUCCCUACUCCCCAGCUAGACCACUCCGGUCUGCCAGCUCUGGUCGCCUUAUGGUUCCCUCUCUAUGUGCACCUGGCGGUCGAGCUGCACAUUCACGCAUGUUUACCGUUUUGGUUCCGCAGUGGUGGAAUGACUUGCCUACCACUGUCAGGACAGCAGAAUCCCUCCCCCUAUUUUGACGCAGACUCAAAACACACCUUUUCAAACUCUACCUUAGUCCUCCCUCCUGAUUCCCCACCCCUUUCCGAUUUCCCUCCUUGUCUAACCCCAAAAAAAUUAAAUAAUAUUUGCACUUUCAAUGACUGUAUUUUUUGUUUAGAGCAGCACCUCAUGUGUACUUUCCUAGUUAUGGAUGUGAUGCUUUAACUUGUGGAAGAACCUAUGCACUUGUAAGUCGCUUUAGAUUAAAAGUGUCUGCCAAAUUACUAAAAUGUAAAAUGUAAAUGUAACAGUGGGCUUUAUGCUUAUGAGAGUGAUGCAGCGAAACACAAGAGAAGCAAGAAGAAAUGGUUUGAACCCAAAAGCUCUAAAAACCACAGCCUCACAUACAGAAGCUACUUUGUGAAAGCUUUUGUGAUUUCAAGUGCCAUCCAAUCAGAUGACCUAAUUAACAGCUUCAAGGUGUAAUAGGUCACAGGUGUGACUUUUUAUGCUUUUAAGUGUUUUAUUUCAUGAUGAUCGAAUGAUAGACCGCCAACCUAGCUACCAAUGUACUUGAGGAAGCACUCAUUUCUCUGUCUUUGUGAAAUGCAGUGUAUGUACA